UCCUCGUUUAGACGAGGCAGUCUGUCCAGAGUGCUUCGAACUCUCAUUCGAGUGGCAACAGGACACAAGGGUUGCGCUCGUUGCGGGACUUAACCCAACAUCUCACAACACGAGCUGACGACAGCCAUGCACCACCUGUGUAACUGUCCCGAAGGAAAACCGUGUUUCCACGGCGGUCAGUUACAUGUCAAGCCCAGGUAAGGUUCUUCGCGUUGCUUCGAAUUGAACCACAUGCUCCACCGCUUGUGCGGGCCCCCGUCAAUUCCUUUGAGUUUCAGCCUUGCGGCCGUACUCCCCAGGCGGGGCACUUAAUGCGUUAGCGCCGGCACCCAGGGGGUCGCUCCCCCAGGCACCUAGUGCCCAUCGUUUACGGCGUGGACUAC
rnacentral:misc_RNA from 1 species